AUUUUCCCAACGCAAAAAUCAGAGCAUCACCUGAAAGGAUUUUGGAUGAGCGUUUCCGAUGAUAAGUUUAGCGAUGGAGGAGACUCCGAGAUCCAAACCAAGUCCGUAUCAGGACGCAGCACCGGCUGGUCCGAGCUGACUCACGAGUGCUUGAUCAGCAUACUCUCUCGACUCACCUUGGAGCACCGAUGGCGAGGACCUAUGCUGGUCUGCAAGUCCUGGCUCAGCGCCUGCAAGGACCCCUCACUCCACUCCAAGUUCGAUCUCGAUACUCAUUUCGACUCUUCAUCUGAGUCGUCUCGCUGGUGGACGCCCGAAUUCGAGAAGAAGAUCGAUUCCAUGCUUCGUUCCGUCGUCGAUUGGAGCGAUGGCUAUAUCACCGAGAUCCGCGUUAGACACUGCUCAGAUCGCUCCCUCAAUUUUGUGGCAGAAAGGUGUCCAAAUCUUCAAGUUCUCUCAAUCAAGAGCUGCCCAAAUGCUACUGAUGCGUCAAUGGUUCAGAUUUCCUUCAAGUGCACCAAACUUAGGGAGCUUGACAUCAGUUAUUGCAACGAGAUAUCUCAUGAAUCUCUGGAGAUGAUAGGCAGAAAUUGCCCCAAUCUUAAGGUUCUAAAGCGAAACCUCAUGAACUGGUUAGAUCCUUCCCAACAUGUUGGAAUUGUCCCUAACGAUUACUUAAAUGCUUGUCCUCAAGAUGGGGAUUUAGAGGCAGCUGCAAUUUCCCAUUUUAUGCCUCAUUUGGAGCAUCUUGAACUUCGGUUCUCCAAGUUAUCAGCGAAAGGGCUUGCAUCAAUUUGUGAAGGGUGUUUGAAUCUUGAGUACUUGGAUCUAUCUGGGUGUGCAAAUUUGACGAGUCGGGAUAUCAUCAACAAGACUUCUGGUUUGAAAUAUUUGAAGGAGAUUAAAAAGCCAAAUUUCUACAUCCCAAGGUCUGUCUUCCACACUGAAAGAUAUGGCCAUUGGAGGCUUUAUGAUGAGCGAUUCCAGACGGAUGUUUUCCGAAUUUGAUCAGCAUGUCUCAUGGUGCUGGACUCUGGGUGUUUGGCUUCCUUCAUGUUUGCUGAGUUGGUGGAUGUGUUUACUAUAUGCAUUCUUGUAAGCUGUCCUAGAAUAUUUUGCAUGUUUGUUGUGAAGUUGAUUUUUUGUAAAGCUUUUACAUUAUGCAUUUCUUACUCAUUCUUGCGCUGAAUAAGUUACUGACUAAAAUUUUGUCUUUAUACAUUGAAUAUUUUCAGAAUUGUUAGUUUUAUUUUGGUUGAAAAGUUGGAGUAUGUGGCUUCUAUAUAUUUUUCUUUUUGUUUCAGUGGUCAUAAAACUGACUCUGUUUAUUUUUCUCAUUAUUUAUGCUGAUUGGAUUCUGUUGGACAUGGUCCAGAUGUUUGGUUGGUGUGGUUGACAAACUUGAUUUAAAGGAAUAGAGGGGGAGGUUUUUAGCUUUGGGCAAACCUAGGGUAGGGAGCUAAGAUGUUUCUAAUAGAUACCUUGUAGUUUGGUAAGCUCUUAACUAAAGAGACCUGGUGUGAUUUGGGAAGGUUUUGAACUGAAGUGGCAACCCUUGGUUAUUGGAGCUGUAAGCUUUUGAAAAAUUCUAUUCCUAGCCAUUACAAAACUCUAGCUUAUUUCUUAGAGGGGUCAGGCUAUUUUUCUUAAGAAUAAUGCCUGGUUUAACUCAGCCUUAAGAAACAAAAUAACUGUUUCAUGAGUCCUAAAUGGUGCGGGGGCUUGAUUAGGUUAAUUUCAUGGAGUUGAUUAUUCAAAACUUUCUUUUGAGUUUGUGUGGUUGUGAUAGAGUAACAUAAAAUGCUGGAUUAUGGACUAAAGAUGAGUAUAAUAAUUAUUAUUAUGACCGUUUCAAAGUAGUUUUUAUGCCAUAAAAGUUUCUACACUCAUCCUAGUGGGUUGAUGACCCAGGGUCUUCAAGGUAAAGAGUCCCAAAAACAGACCAUUGUAAUCUUCAUCUUGUUCUUCUUUUUGGUCUUGAGG
rnacentral:misc_RNA from 1 species